rnacentral:rRNA from 1 species
UACGGGGGGGGCAAGCGUUGUUCGGAAUUACUGGGCGUAAAGGGCUCGUAGGCGGCCAACUAAGUCAGACGUGAAAUCCCUCGGCUUAACCGGGGAACUGCAUCUGAUACUGGAUGGCUUGAGAUUGGGAGAGGGAUGCGGAAUUCCAGGUGUAGCGGUGAAAUGCGUAGAUAUCUGGAGGAACACCGGUGGCGAAGGCGGUUGCCUGGAGCUUUGCUGACGCUGAUGCGCGAAAGCGUGGGGAGCGAUCCGG